rnacentral:rRNA from 1 species
UACGGAGGGUGCAAGCGUUGUUCGGAUUUACUGGGCGUAAAGAGCACGCAGGCGGUCGUUCAAGUCGAGUGUGAAAGCCCCCGGCUCAACUGGGGAGGGUCACUCGAUACUGAUCGACUCGAAGGCAGGAGAGGGUAGUGGAAUUCCCGGUGUAGUGGUGAAAUGCGUAGAUAUCGGGAGGAACACCAGUGGCGAAGGCGACUACCUGGCCUGUUCUUGACGCUGAGGCGCGAAAGCUAGGGGAGCAAACGGG